CCUACGGGCGGCAGCAGUGAGGAAUAUUGGUCAAUGGGCGAGAGCCUGAACCAGCCAAGUCGCGUGAGGGAGUACUGCCCUAUGGGUUGUAAACCUCUUUUGUCGGGGAGCAAAAGCCGGACGUGUCCGGCUGUGAGAGUACCCGAAGAAAAAGCAUCGGCUAACUCCGUGCCAGCAGCCGCGGUAAUACGGAGGAUGCGAGCGUUAUCCGGGUUUAUUGGGUUUAAAGGGUGCGCAGGCGGAUUUUUAAGUCAGCGGUAAAAUCGUGGGGCUCAACCCCAUCCAGCCGUUGAAACUGGGGAUCUAGAGUGUGCGAGAGGUAUGCGGAAUGCGUGGUGUAGCGGUGAAAUGCAUAGAUAUCACGCAGAACCCCGAUUGCGAAGGCAGCAUACCGGUGCACAACUGACGCUCAGGCACGAAAGCGUGGGUAUCGAACAGGAUUAGAUACCCGGGUAGUC
rnacentral:rRNA from 1 species